GAUGAACGCUGACAGAAUGCUUAACACAUGCAAGUCGAUGGGGAAGUGGUGCUUGCACCAUGGUAACCAUGGCGGACGGGUGAGUAACACGUAAGGAACUUACCUGCGGGACCGGGAUAACAGCAGGAAACUGCUGACAAGACCGGAUAAGGUCAUUAAGCUGCAUAGCUUAGUGAUGAAAGGAGACGCCUGCGGAGAGCCUUGCGUCCUAUUAGCUAGUUGGUGGGGUAACGGCCCACCAAGGCGAAGAUAGGUAGCCGGCCUGAGAGGGUGGACGGCCACAAGGGGACUGAGAUACGGCCCUUACUCCUACGGGAGGCAGCAGUGGGGAAUAUUGGACAAUGGGGGCAACCCUGAUCCAGCAAUUCUGUGUGCACGAAGACGGUUUUCGGAUUGUAAAGUGCUUUCAGCAGGGAAGAAGGAAGUGACGGUACCUGCAGAAGAAGCGACGGCUAAAUACGUG
rnacentral:rRNA from 1 species